rnacentral:misc_RNA from 1 species
AGAGAGAGAGAGAGAGAUCAUUAUGACACAAAUUAAUUCAGUGUGGUUGAAGGCAGUGGUCUCACUUUGAAUUAUAAAAAUAAAGGUGGCAAUUUCAGAAGAAGACUUAAUCAAGCAGAAUUGACUAAAACAAUUGGCAGGUAUUCACUGCAAUUAAGCUUUUCCACUUAGAUUGCAUUGACAAGUAAGCAGCAAAACAAAUGUAAUAGGGAAGGGGAUUGAACACAUUUAACACACAUUACUCGUAGACAAUUAUUCAUUACUCACAACUUCAUGACUGCUAUACAUUCCAUCAUCAUCAUUCGCAUCAUAAGUUUAAGUGAAAAAAAUUCAUGUCUUGAUGAUUCUCAUAUUUCAAAAGUUCCAAUUCCAAUUAAAUAAUGACAAACUUUAAUUUAUUAAAAGCAUACUGAUGUAGGACCACAAAGAACAAUCAAAAGGGAAGAUAAACAAUUCUCAAAUUUUCUAUUAAUUCUCA